GGGGGCGAAUGGAUUCGACGGGAUUGAAGAACCGCUGAAUUGCGUGCCGUGGUUUUCAGGAGGGCCACGUUAAUAAACCUGAAAAACCUCAAAUGCCAAUUCUUUUGGCAACGUUGCUUACGCUUAGUUAAGCAGCCGUUCUCAUCUGAUUUUGUCUGUUGGUUAGGUGAGGGCGUCGAUUUAACAGAAUAGUUCCUCACUUUCGUGCGCGGGUGACGAAUGAAACCUUUGCGGACUGGCUUUAUCGGAAGUUUGUUUGUUGUCGACGAUAAAGUAAGAUUUUUCAACAAACUACGCACGUAGUGGUUCGACGCUUCUCUUUUUCGGACGGGAGUUCGAUUCUCCCCGCCUCCACUC
rnacentral:tmRNA from 1 species